UCUAAUAUAAUUUAAAUAAAAAUAUCUGUUUUGUAGUCAGAAAAUAGGUACCAUGUAUUUUAUUAGAU